rnacentral:rRNA from 1 species
GACGAACGCUGGCGGCGUGCUUAACACAUGCAAGUCGAACGGUAAGGCCCUUCGGGGUACACGAGUGGCGAACGGGUGGGUAACACGUGGGUGAUCUGCCCUGCACUUCGGGAUAAGCCUGGGAAACUGGGUCUAAUACCGGAUAGGACCACUGCCUGCAUGGGUGGUGGUGGAAAGCUUUUGCGGUGUGGGAUGGGCCCGCGGCCUAUCAGCUUGUUGGUGGGGUGAUGGCCUACCAAGGCGACGACGGGUAGCCGGCCUGAGAGGGUGACCGGCCACACUGGGACUGAGAUACGGCCCAGACUCCUACGGGAGGCAGCAGUGGGGAAUAUUGCACAAUGGGCGCAAGCCUGAUGCAGCGACGCCGCGUGAGGGAUGACGGCCUUCGGGUUGUAAACCUCUUUCAGCACCGACGAAGCGCAAGUGACGGUAGGUGCAGAAGAAGGACCGGCCAACCACGUGCCAGCAGCCGCGGUAA